ACGGAAGGCAGCAGUAGGGCAUAUUGCACAAUGGGGGAAACCCUGAUGCAGCAACGCCACGUGUGGGAAGAAGCAUUUCGGUGUGUAAACCACUGUCGUGAAGGAAUAAGGCUUAUUUUCGGAUAAGUUGAAUGUACUUUGAAAGGAAGCACCGGCAAACUUCGUGCCAGCAGCCGCGGUAGUACGAGGGGUGCAAGCGUUGUUCGGAAUCACUGGGCGUAAAGGGAGCGCAGGCGGAGAUGCAAGCAGUCUGUACAAUACCGGGGCCCAACCCCGGACCUGCAGACUUGACUGUUUCUCUUGGAUAGCUCAGGGGCUGGCGGAAUUCCUGGUGUAGCGGUGGAAUGCGUAGAGAUCAGGAAGAACACCGAUGGCGAAGGCAGCCAGCUGGGGGCUUAUCGACGCUCAUGCUCGAAAGUGUGGGUAGCAAACAGGAUUAGAUACCCUGGUA
rnacentral:rRNA from 1 species